rnacentral:rRNA from 1 species
UACGAAGGGUGCAAGCGUUGCUCGGAAUUAUUGGGCGUAAAGGGUUGGUAGGUGGUCUUGUUUGUCUAAGGUGAAAUCCCAUGGCUUAACUGUGGAAGUGCCUUAGAAACGGCAAGACUAGAGUCCUAGAGGGGUUUGUGGAAUUCCCGGUGUAGCGGUGAAAUGCGUAGAUAUCAUGAGGAAUACCAGAGGCGAAGGCGGCUACCUGGACAAUUGCUGACGCUCAGGCACGAAAGCGUGGGGAGCAAAAGGG